CUCAAAGGAAUUGACGGGGACCCGCACAAGCGGUGGAGCAUGUGGUUUAAUUCGAAGCAACGCGAAGAACCUUACCAGGUCUUGACAUCCUUUGACCACUCUAGAGAUAGAGUCUUUCCCGUUCGGGGACAAAGUGACAGGUGGUGCAUGGUUGUCGUCAGCUCGUGUCGUGAGAUGUUGGGUUAAGUCCCGCAACGAGCGUCGACGCGGCCG
rnacentral:rRNA from 1 species